rfam:Xenopus laevis strain J chromosome 4L, whole genome shotgun sequence.
UAUGUGGCCUUUUUUAAGGCCAUGCAUAGGUACUUACAAAUUAAA